GACGAACGCGGGCGGCGUGCUAAUACAUGCAAGUAGAACGCUGAAGGAGGAGCUUGCUCUUCUGGAUGAGUUGCGAACGGGUGAGUAACGCGUAGGUAACCUGCCUGGUAGCGGGGGAUAACUAUUGGAAACGAUAGCUAAUACCGCAUAAGAGUAGAUGUUGCACGACAUUUGCUUAAAAGGUGCAAUUGCAUCACUACCAGAUGGACCUGCGUUGUAUUAGCUAGUUGGUGAGGUAACGGCUCACCAAGGCAACGAUACAUAGCCGACCUGAGAGGGUGAUCGGCCACACUGGGACUGAGACACGGCCCAGACUCCUACGGGAGGCAGCAGUAGGGAAUCUUCGGCAAUGGACGGAAGUCUGACCGAGCAACGCCGCGUGAGUGAAGAAGGUUUUCGGAUCGUAAAGCUCUGUUGUAAGAGAAGAACGAGUGUGAGAGUGGAAAGUUCACACUGUGACG
rnacentral:rRNA from 1 species